CGCAACCCUUAUUGUUAGUUGCCAUCAUUUAGUUGGGCACUCUAGCAAGACUGCCGGUGACAAACCGGAGGAAGGUGGGGAUGACGUCAAAUCAUCAUGCCCCUUAUGACCUGGGCUACACACGUGCUACAAUGGGAAGUACAACGAGUCGCGAAGUCGCGAGGCUAAGCUAAUCUCUUAAAGCUUCUCUCAGUUCGGAUUGUAGGCUGCAACUCGCCUACAUGAAGCCGGAAUCGCUAGUAAUCGCGGAUCAGCACGCCGCGGUGAAUACGUUCCCGGGCCUUGUACACACCGCCCGUCACACCACGAGAGUUUGUAACACCCGAAGUCGGUGAGGUAACCUUUUGGAGCCAGCCGCCUAAGGUGGGAUAGAUGAUUGGGGUGAAGUCGUAACAAGGUAGCCGUAUCGGAAGGUGCGGCUGGAUCACCUCCUUUCUAAGGAA
rnacentral:rRNA from 1 species